rnacentral:lncRNA from 1 species
UCUUAUGCUCGUAGUUUGCUUGGGACAAGGAGCAGCUCGAGGAGCAGCUCGAGGAGUGAGGUUUCAGUUUUUUAGGGCACAUGUUCUACCAUGAGCAGACGCAGAGCGUUGGCAGAACAUUUGCCUCCAGACGAUGUAAGUUAGUUGUUAAAUUACAUUAUGUAAGUUACUUAUGUUGUAUGAUGUAAGUUACUUGUUUCAUAGGAUGCUGAAAUCGAGUGACAGUCGAGAGAAGAUGUUGCAGUUGGGGCGGUGGUAGAGGACCAUGCGAUAGAUGAUGAUGAAGAUGAUGGUGGAGAUG